UGUUUGACUGUGGAGGCUUGUCGACAGCUCUGGAGAGUGUCGGGACAAGUCCGAGUCGCGUUGGCGUCAAAUAGACGCAAAACGGGCUCCGUACGACGUGAGGGCAACUUUCAGCGAAGAAAAUCUGCAAACUGCAGUUUUUCUGCUUGCUGUACCGGUACAGCCAUUAAGGUGUACCGGUACACUGCACUGGGCCGCGCGCGGGUUGCUCUCAGGUUGGCUGACGUACCGGUACGCGAUCCCGUGUACCGGUACACCAGGGUAGGUAGAGGGCUAAAUGAGUAAUUUUCUCUCUCCCUCGUUUGUAUCGCCUCCCUUCUCUUCUUAUGGUGUCCGAACAGAGAGAGAGGGAGAGUUUUACCUGUUCUUCUUCUCUCUCUCUCUCGGUUGAAGGUAGGGAAGAAGCCGGUUGGGGAGUUCGUCGCCGACGUCGCGCCGCGAGCCGUUCGAGUGCGCGUGUGACCGGGGCGCUGCGAGGAGGCCGGGCGAGGGCGUGUCUUCGACGUUACUGUCGCCGCGUCGUAGUUCCUCACUGUGGAGAGCCGCAGGUACAGGCUGCUGCUUCCUCUGCUGAGCAGGAUCGUGGCAAGGGCAUCGCGAGCUAGAGCCCUACCAGACUGAUCGAGUUAGAGGCGUCCUUCCCUUACAGCAGGUAGUGAUUUUCUUUUGGAGCUUUUGUACAUAGCAGUUGAACUCGCCACUGCGAGUGGUUUUGUACUCGGGAUUUAUGUAUAUGUAUAAAAAGCUCUUUUAUGUUAGCUACUUCUUUUGCUCUAUA